AUUGAACGCUGGCGGCAUGCUUUACACAUGCAAGUCGAACGGUAACAGGCCGCAAGGUGCUGACGAGUGGCGAACGGGUGAGUAAUGCAUCGGAACGUGCCCAGUCGUGGGGGAUAACGCAGCGAAAGCUGCGCUAAUACCGCAUACGAUCUAUGGAUGAAAGCGGGGGACCGUAAGGCCUCGCGCGAUUGGAGCGGCCGAUGUCAGAUUAGGUAGGUGGUGGGGUAAAGGCUCACCAAGCCAACGAUCUGUAGCUGGUCUGAGAGGACGACCAGCCACACUGGGACUGAGACACGGACCAGACUCCUACGGGAGGCAGCAGUGGGGAAUUUUUGACAAUGGGCGCAAGCCUGAUCCAGCAAUGCCGCGUGCAGGAAGAAGGCCUUCGGGUUGUAAACUGCUUUUGUACGGAACGAAACGGCUCUCACUAAUACUGGGGGCUAAUGACGGUACCGUAAGAAUAAGCACCGGCUAACUACGUGCCAGCAGCCGCAGUAAAAC
rnacentral:rRNA from 1 species